rnacentral:rRNA from 1 species
AUUGAACGCUGGCGGCAUGCCUUACACAUGCAAGUCGAACGGCAGCACGGGAGCAAUCCUGGUGGCGAGUGGCGAACGGGUGAGUAAAGUAUCGGAACGUGCCCAGUCGUGGGGGAUAACGUAGCGAAAGUUACGCUAAUACCGCAUACGAUCUAUGGAUGAAAGCGGGGGAUCGCAAGACCUCGCGCGAUUGGAGCGGCCGAUAUCAGAUUAGGUAGUUGGUGGGGUAAAGGCUCACCAAGCCGACGAUCUGUAGCGGGUCUGAGAGGACGACCAGCGAGACUGGGACGGAGACACGGGCCAGACUCCUAGGGGAGGCAGCAGUGGGGAAUGUUGGACAAUGGGCGCAAGCCUGAUCCAGCCAUGCCGCGUGCAGGAUGAAGGCCUUCGGGUUGUAAACUGCUUUUGUACGGAACGAAAAGGUUUGGCCUAAUACGCUGAACUCAUGACGGUACCGUAAGAAUAAGCACCGGCUAACUACGUGCCAGCAGCCGCAGUAACAC